AACGCACAUUGCGCCCUCUGGUAUUCCGGGGGGCAUGCCUGUUCGAGCGUCAUUACAACCUUCAAGCUUGGCUUGGUAUUGGGUGUCGUCUCAACCGAUUUUCUCGGUAGGACGUACCUGGAAGUUAGCGGCAGAACGGCCGGUGAUCGAGCGUAGUAAAAACAUUGCUUUCCGCUCAAGAUUUCACCCGGGCGUCCUAGCCGGACAACCCCCUAAAUUUUUCAAUGGUUGACCUCGGAUCAGGUAGGGAUACCCGCUGAACUUAA
rnacentral:misc_RNA from 1 species